CACAUUGCAGGAGUAUGGAAACAAAAAUGCUACAUUUAAUGGGACGAACUGUGUUGAUCAUUCCUACAUUUUUUAUACAUUUCAAACAUCUAUCCCUGCAGAGUAUGCCCGCAAGAUUUACAGUAACCUUCACUGCCACAGACCCGCAGUGUAUGCCUCUCAGGAAAAAAUGGUUAAAACAACAAUCUUGUCAAUCAAGUUAAUUCCUGCAUUUACUAUUCCAUUGGAUUAAGUUAAGCAAACAAAGUUAACCGCUGUAUAUACUUUAUUACUUUACCUGUCAACUAGAUUACACUGAAGUUAUUGUGCGAUUUCUGUUAUAUAUGUAUUAAAUCACCUCUGCUUGGGAGUUACCGCCAUUCAAUAUUCU